AAGUCGUAACAAGGUCUCCGUUGGUGAACCAGCGGAGGGAUCAUUAUAGAGUUUUCCAAACUCCCAACCCUAUGUGGACUUACCAUUGUUGCCUCGGCGGGGCCUACCCGGUACCGACCCCUUUCGGGCGAGGUUACCCUGUAGCCCGCCGGUGGACUACUUAACUCUUGUUAUUUUAACGAUAUCUGAGCGUCUUAUUUUAAUAAGUCAAAA
rnacentral:misc_RNA from 1 species